GCCUGGGUGGCUCAGUCGGUUGAGCGUCCAACUUCAGCUUAGGUCGUGAUCUCACGGUUCGUGGGUUCGAACCCCUUGUCAGGCU
rnacentral:tRNA from 1 species